GUGUUGUAUGAAAGGAGAGAAACUUCAUGCUACCCAUGCAAUGAACAGAAGAGGUCCUGGUGGCCUGUGCAACAGGCAUAUGGUUAAGAUGUUGCCGCUUACUUUG